rnacentral:lncRNA from 1 species
UGGGAGGAGGACAGACGGGGCUUUGGUACUCUCAGGCUGCUGUACCUGGGGUAGAAAUGCCCACUUAUGAGUGGAAGCUGAGUGGAGGAAAGCAGCCCCAGAGUUUUCAGCUCCUCUUACCUGGAAUCAAACCUCUGCAACAUGGGACUUGAGGUGGAUGGGAGGUGAGAGAAGCUGGCAUGCCUGCCCCUCCCAGUGAGGCAGUGAAGCAGCUGAAGCCAGGGGCGUGGUGGGUUAUGGUACAUACGCCAUCACACUGGCGGAAAAUGAAGACCAGGUCGCCUGGGCCCUCACAUCUCCUGACAUUCACCUUCAGCCACAG